rnacentral:lncRNA from 1 species
AGGCAGGUCGUCAUGCAGAAAGAAUUCACAGGCUCAGGCCGCCGCAGAUUCAAGGGACAAAACGAUUUAUUAUGAUGCCAUAAAACAGGCACAGUUCCCUAGUGGGAUUCACAUUUAAUAAGGAGGAAGUUGGGACCUUUUGUGAGAAAAGACUCAGUGCUUGGGUACCCUGAAGAUUGGGGGUGCUGGGCAAUGAUUUUUGGUAGCUUCUCUGAAAGAAGUCAGGUUCAAACCAUCUCAAAUCAAGCAAAGACACUGAUUUGGACAUUUAGUUAAGUAAAGGGUAAUACACACUGUGAACCUCCUCUUUAAGGGGGGGGGCAACCCAGCAGAGUGAUGUGGGGGUUUAUUCAGAGAAGGAAAAGGAAGCAAAACAUAGGAGAAUUUGGCAGCAAGUUGGAUGAUCUCAGUAGAUUUUGCACUUCCUUUACAAUGCGAGGUCGGGUCUGCAUGAGAAAGGUCCCUGUGAACAAGCAUUAGACAUAGUGAGGCUCCCCAAAUCUGGGGCAACAGUGAAGCAAGGAGAAGAAUCGCCAAACCCGGGAGUGAAGUGGUCUCUGGAGGGUGAGUGGUCACUUGUGGGAAAUAUCCUCUACAAAACUGCCCUAAAAUUCUCUUCUCUUCCUCAAGCCACACCAGAAACAUUUCUGAUGCAGUUUCAAUAAUCAAGAGAAUAACAGCCAUGUCUUACAAUAUAAAGACCCAAUUAUUCUUACAUCAUUUUGAAACAUUUAAGGACUUUGUUUCAUAGAAAUUACACACACACACACACACACACACACACACACACACAUUUUCCUGAGUGUUCAGUUUAUUAUGACUCCAUAUUUUAGGACUGAAAACAGUAAAAUCCUACAUACUUACAUUGCGCUCAUAUUUUCUACUGAUCAUUUGCUCUCAUUAUAGAAAAUUGCUAUAAAAGGAAAAGCAAGAACAUGAUUAUAACAGUAUCAAACUGGUCCUUCUGGCUUAAGUCUAAAGGCACAUGGGUGUGGGAAUAAAGCAUUCUUGGGUCUGUUGGACUUGAGGUAAGAGUCACUGUCUACAAGCAGUCAUGCAGUCACCAUUCUAUCUCAUACACAGACUCAGGAAAAGUAAAUUGGGAGACCUUCCGACUCAAAGAACACAGUUGGGAAACGGCAUGGGAAGGGUCUCACAAUAAUGAAGCCAAAGGUUGUCCUCUCAGCUUUUGCCACAUACAGACCUCCACCUCUAAGUGUCCAGGAUCACACCCCUCUCGGUAGGCUGUGACAGCUCUUUCCAAUGAUGAGUGACUGGCUUGAUGAGCCAUCAGACAAUCAUACCUGAAUUCAAAGCUCAAAGCAGUAUCAGUUAGUCCUAAGAGAUUUUGGCUCCAAUAGCAAGUUUCAUUCUCGGGGAUUCAGCUCUCAAAGAUCACAUACCCGAAAUAACAGUUAUUGCCCAUAAGCUUACAUAGGUAACAUUGCAAGACUAAUCACAGAAAACCCACAACAUAUUUUGAUAUCUAAAAGAUGGUUUUCAGUUCGAUCAUUAUAGAAAACAUUUUUUAUCCUAUUUUAUUUUUCCAAAGAUAGUUUUCAACUUUCACCUUCAGAAAACCUUGCGUUUCAAAUGUUUCUCUCUAUCCUCCCUAAGACAGCCGGCAAUCUGAUAUAGGUGGAACAUGUGUCAUUAUCCUAAACAUAUUCAUCAUGUUGCACAUACAGAGGAAGGUCGAUGAAAAGGAAAAAAGUUGAGAAAAAGAAAAGCAAAAACAAUCAACCAAACAAAGUAAAAAA